GCGUCAUUAGCUCAGUUGGUAGAGCACACGACUUUUAAUCGUGUUGUCGUAGGUUCAAUCCCUACAUGACGCACCA
rnacentral:tRNA from 1 species